rnacentral:rRNA from 1 species
GGACUACCAGGGUAUCUAAUCCUGUUUGCUCCCCACGCUUUCGUGUCUCAGCGUCAGUAUUCGUCCAGUUGGCCGCCUUCGCCACCGGUGUUCCUCUCGAUAUCUACGAAUUUCACCUCUACACCGAGAAUUCCACCAACCUCUCCGAUACUCUAGCCCCCCAGUUUCGAGUGCACUUCCUGGGUUGAGCCCAGGGAUUUCACACCCGACUUAGGGGACCGCCUACACACGCUUUACGCCCAGUAAUUCCGAACAACGUUUGCACCCUCUGUCUUACCGCGGCUGCUGGCAC